rnacentral:rRNA from 1 species
GACGAACGCUGGCGGCGUGCUUAACACAUGCAAGUCGAGCGGUAAGGCCCUUUCGGGGGUACACGAGCGGCAAACGGGUGAGUAACACGUGGGUGACCUGCCCUCAGCUCUGGGAUAAGCCUGGGAAACCGGGUCUAAUACUGGAUAUGACUCCAUGACGCAUGUUGUGGGGUGGAAAGCCUUGUGCGGCUGAGGAUGGGCCCGCGGCCUAUCAGCUUGUUGGUGGGGUGAUGGCCUACCAAGGCGACGACGGGUAGCCGGCCUGAGAGGGCGACCGGCCACACUGGGACUGAGACACGGCCCAGACUCCUACGGGAGGCAGCAGUGGGGAAUCUUGCGCAAUGGGCGAAAGCCUGACGCAGCGACGCCGCGUGAGGGAUGACGGCCUCGG